CCGGAGGAAGGUGGGGAUGACGUCAAGUCAUCAUGCCCCUUAUGUCCUGGGCUGCACACGUGCUACAAUGGCCGGUACAAUGGGCUGCGAUACCGUGAAGGUGGAAGCGAAUCCCAUAAAACCGGCCCCAGUUCGGAUCGAAGGCUGCAACUCGCCUUCGUGAAGUCGGAGUUGCUAGUAAUCGCGGAUCAGCAUGCCGCGGUGAAUACGGUUCCCGGGCCUU
rnacentral:rRNA from 1 species